AGUGAACGCUGGCGGUAGGCCUAACACAUGCAAGUCGAACGGCAGCACAGUAAGAGCUUGCUCUUACGGGUGGCGAGUGGCGGACGGGUGAGGAAUACAUCGGAAUCUACUUUUUCGUGGGGGAUGACGUAGGGAAACUUACGCUAAUACCGCAUACGACCUACGGGUGAAAGCAGGGGAUCUUCGGACCUUGCGCGAUUGAAUGAGCCGAUGUCGGAUUAGCUAGUUGGCGGGGUAAAGGCCCACCAAGGCGACGAUCCGUAGCUGGUCUGAGAGGAUGAUCAGCCACACUGGAACUGAGACACGGUCCAGACUCCUACGGGAGGCAGCAGUGGGGAAUAUUGGACAAUGGGCGCAAGCCUGAUCCAGCCAUACCGCGUGGGUGAAGAAGGCCUUCGGGUUGUAAGGCCCUUUUGUUGGGAAAGAAAAGCAGCAGGUUAAUACCCCGCUGUUCUGACGGUACCCAAAGAAUAAGCACCGGCUAACUUCGUG
rnacentral:rRNA from 1 species